rnacentral:lncRNA from 1 species
AGAACAUUUAAGAUCUACUCUCUUAGCAAUUUUCAACUAUAUAUUACACUAAUAUUAACUAUAAUUACUAUGCUGUUCUGGGGCCAGAACCCAUUCAUCUAAAAAUUGUAAGUUUGAAUUCUUUGACAAACAUCUCCCCACUUCCUGCACUCUCUAAGCAUUGAUAACAACUAUUCUAGUCUUUAUUUAUUUCAUAUUCCUAAAACAUCUAAACCAACAUAAAUAGUGUCAAUAUUUAUGUCUAUAUUGACAUAAUGCAUUUAUUAAUUAUGUAUCCAUUUAUUAAGUAUGUCUGUCAAACCAGAAACUAGGAAAAUAUUUUCUGGGCAUAGUAUAGAUAAAGGAAUUGUAUAUUGUUGUACACAGUUCUCAUUUAUAUUUAGAAAACAUAUUACUUAAAAGAUAAAUGGACUAAAAAAAUUGACCAAAAUAAAAGCAGCAUAAUUAUCUACCUAACCAGUUAACAAAUAUUUACUAAAUGCAUGCUAUAUGAAAGCACUUUUCUAAAUCUGCAGAAAUAGCAGUAUACAGAGACAAAAAGUGUUGCCCUUAUACAGGAGGGAUGGCCAUUAAAUAAGACUAACAGGUGUGACCUAAUGUGUUCGGAGUAACUGCCAUGGAGAAAAAUUACUUAGGAAGUGAUGAUAGAAAAUGUGGAAGUGGUUAUAGAUUCCAGUGAACAGAUCAAUGAUUAGAGAGUGACAAGGUGAUCUAAAAUUUAAGCCUUACUUUUAACAGUUAUUUUUAAGUAAAAUGAUACAGAAAAAAAAAAAAAAAACCCUAACACUUCUAGUGUCAAUUAAUCCACUCUAAAGGGGGCAAAAGUAUACAAUGAGGAAGAGUCUCUUCAUAAAACGUGCUGGGAAACCUGGACAGCUUUGUGCAAAAGAAUGUAACCGGACCACUUUCUUAUGCCAUAUAAAAAAAAAAUAAACUCAAAAUGGAUUAAAGGCUUAAAUAAGAUCUGAAACCAUACAUUUACUAGAAGAAAACACAAACAGUAUGCUCUAUUCUUUGACAUCAGUCCCAGCAGUAUUUUUUUGGAUCUGUCUUUAGACAAAUGCAACAAAAGCAAAAAUUUAAAAAUGGGACUAUAACAAACUAAAACUAAGCUUUUGCAUGGCUAUGGUAACCAUGAACAAAAUGAAAAGUCAGCCUAACUGAAUUGGAGAAGAUAUUUAUAAACAAUUUUUCUGAGUAGAGAUUGCCCUCUAAAAUAUAUAAAUUACUCAUAACAAACAACUCAAUUAAAAAUAGACAGAGGGACCUGAAUAGAUAUUUUUCUGAAGAAGACAGAGAUGGCCAACAGAUACACGAAAGGAUGCUUAACGACAUUAACCAUCAGGAAAAUGCACAUCAAAAUCACAAGGAGACACCACUUCAUAAUUUUCAGAAUGGCUAUUAUCAAAAACACAAGAAAAAACAAGUUGUGAGAAUGUGGAGAAAAGGGAAACUUUUUGUUUGUUUUUGUUUUUUUAGGGCUACAUCCAUGGCAUAUGGAAGUUCCUAGGCUAGGGGUCGAACCCGUGAGUGAGGCCAGAGAUCAAACCCGUGUCCUCAUGGAUUCUAGUUGGGUUUGUUUCUGCUAAGCCACAGCAGGAACUCCGUGAGCGAGGCCAGGGAUCGAGGCCAGGGAUCAAACCCAUGUCCUCAUGGAUACUAGUUGGGUUUGUUUCUGCUAAGCCACAGCAGGAACUCCGAAGGGAAACUUCUUGCACUGUUAAUGGAAAUGUAAAUUGGUGCAGAUACUAUGGACAGUAUGGAGGUUCCUCAAUAUAUUAAAAAGAGAACUCCAGGGAGUUCCUGUUGUGGCUCAGCAGGUUAUGAACCCAACUGGUAUCCACAAGGGUGUGGGUUCUAUUCCAUCCAUGGCCUUGCUCAGUGGGUUAAGGAUCUGGCAUUGCCAUGAACUGUGGUGUAGGUCACAGAUGUGGCUAGGAUCUAGCAUUGCUGUGGCUGUCGCGUAGGCCGGCAUCUGUAGCUCUAAUCUGACCCCUAGCCUGGGACCUUCCAUAUGUUACAGAUGCAGCUCUAAAGCAAAAAAAAAACAAAAAAACAAAAACAAAAACAAAAAACACUAUGUGAUCCAGCUAUUCCACUCCUGGGGCUUACCCAAAGAAAACAAAAACACUAAUUAGAAGACAUAUAGACAUCCAUAUUUUUACUGCAGCAUUACCUACCAAAACCAAGAUAUAGAAGCAACCUGUUGCCUUUGAUAGAUGAAUGGAUAAAGACACAUUCACACUCACACACUGAGAUAUUCUCAGUUAUACAAUAUUAAAAAAAAUGAAACCUUGCCAUUUAUGACAACUGGAUGGACAUGAAAAAGAUUAAAAGGUACAAACUUACAGCUAUAAAAUAAAUAAAUCAAGGGUAGCAACAUACAGCAUAUGGCAUAUUUUGAAUAAUAUUGUAAGCACUGCAUGAUAACCAAUGUUACCUAGAUUUAAUAUGGUAAUCACAUUGUAAUGCAUAAAAAUACUUAAUUACUGUUGAUACCUAAAACUAAUAUAAUAUUGUAUGACAAAUAUAAUACAAUAAAAAGUAAUAAUACAUAUGUGCUGUGAAAACAGAGAAGGCAGUGAGUAUCAUUCAUGGAAAGAUAUAAUAUUAUAAUGCUUUUAGAAAGCAGAGUGCUAUACUUAUCAGAAUUCUUAGGAAUGUUCAUAACAUUUCUUCCUGGAAUUCCAAUUCUGGAAAGUUGUUUGGAGGAAAAAGUAUAGAAAUGGCUCUUAGGAACUGCAAUGCUCAGCACAAUUUAAUGUUAGCUGUCAGAAAUUGGAAAUAAAUCUGGAAAUCUGCAUUCCAUAAAUAGAGGCUAUUUAAUACAGAACAUUAAUGGAAUAAUUAUGCCAUAAUAUUAAUAAUUAUGUGUAUUUUGUGAUCAUUAAAAAUUAUGGUGUCAAAUUCUAUAAAUAUAUUGAAAAUAUAAACAAUACAAUGUUAAUUGAAGAAUAUCAGAGUAUUAUAGCAUAUAUUAAAUUUUCUUAAAUUGUCUUUCUUACAUGCAAACAUUUAUGGAUGAAAACUACAUCAUGACAUAUAUGAAAAUAAUAUGAUUUAAGAUAUAAUUUUAAUUCAGAAUUAUAAAAUUUUAGAGUGAAUCAGUCACACCAACAUGAACCUCUCAAACAAUAGAGAAAACACUAUAUUAUGACUACAUAAUCUAAUAUCAGACGAUUGGUCCCCAUUAAGAUACACUUUUGUAUAGAUUUCAUCUUCUGCAAGAAUCAGAGCUCAUUUGGCUAUAUUAUGAGUUCCAGAUAGACAAGGUUGCUUAGCUUAUUGGUCUAAAAAAUAGGAGUUUUCCACCUAAAAAAUUUUUGAUACUAAUAACUCCUUUCAGGGAUACUAUGAGCCUUCUACUGUCCCAGGCUCACGGUACCACCACACUUAAGUGAAAUAGCCAUCCCUUUUCCAUCUCUUUGUUUUAGCUCCUGGCUUAAAUUUUACUUAUUCAGUACUAAAAAUUAAUUAGUAUUAAUAAGCACACUAAUAACUGCAGUGAAAACACAUCAGAAAAGGAAUAUACUUGAGAGAUUACUAGUAAAAGUAUUUUAACAUGCAAUAGUCCCUCUCCACCCCAAACCACAGAGCGAAUAUUUUUAUUUCUCUUUUCCAAAUUAGGCCACUGGAGUUCAGGAAGACCAAAUAUAACUUGCCACAGCAACACAACUAUAAAAUUAGCUGAGCCGGGAUUUGCCUUUGAGCCUGAAAGAAGCCAAAACUAGGGUUUUGUGGGUUUUUCCUCAUUUUUCCACAUCACCAUAGUCUUCCUAAGAUGCUUCAGAUGGAACAAACCUCUCCUUUUGCUAUUUCUCAACUAUGUUUUGAACGUGCAUACAGCAAUGAGUUUACAGACUACGUUAUGCCACAGAUGGCACAGAUGCUCAUAAUGCUCAUUCAUUAUGCCUUUCAUGCUCAUACUGCCUUUCAUGUCACACUCACAAACAUAUUCGCAAUCUACCCACAGAGGAAAUUAUCUGCUCAAUACCCACCGAACUGCUAGAAAGAGAAUCACUAUUUAAUCUAUCACUAGUAAGCCUUUAUUAACAUUUCUAAUCCCAGUGCUAAAGGUAACAUGGCAUGAAAU